UGAUCCUCCUAGCUCAAUUCAACACUUACAGUAAAAACGAAUAGAAAGGGACCUGUUUAUGAAACUCUCCUGCUUGCCUUUGGAAUACUCUCAUCCUCUCCCUUCUCAGCCUCCUAAAUACCCAAGUGAAUUUAUAUAAUGAGCUUUAUUUUAUCACCCUGAAAUUCUUCCUCAGUCCAAAUUGCUAAUGUGGCAGGUUCCAGCUGCCCAAAUUCCCUAAACAACAUUGCCUGUUCCAUAAAAAGCAUGCAAUUACAAGCACAGCAGUCCUGCUCUGGUUCUUAGAACUAUAAACUGACUACACAGCUCCCUGGCCCGGGAAGGCUAUGAAACAGGCAACAUGGACAAUUUAAAGGUGUACAACAUCCGAGGUUCCAUUUCACCCUCAGGCAGCACGGAGUGGACAAGGUAAGGCCACCCUCCACUUUUCUUCUGGCUACUAUAUUGAUUCUCUGGAAACUCUCUCUGCUCCAAAAGAAACCACCCAAUCCCAUGGAGAAAAGAGAUGGGGUCUCACUUUGUCACCCAGGCUGGGCUCAAACUCUUGGCUUCAAGCGAUCUUCUCGCCUUGGUCUCCCAAAGUGCUGGGAUUACAGGCUUGAACUACUGUACUCGACUGACUUUUCCUAUUUCUAAUGUCAGCAUGAAGAACACAAGAAGUCAGCUUCAAAGGGACAUCAUGUUCUGGGAGAAAAUCGUUCUAUUUCAUGCCUAAAAUGGUAACAAAGCAAGUGAAAGCUGAUCUGCUGUGUGUCUCCUGGAUAGUGACAGGUUCUGGUACCCAAAUAAGCAGACCUAAUGAAGCUCAGAGAUUCCCAGCUUGGAUGAACUAUUUACUCCUCAUGAGCUCAAUAUUAACUGUGGAGUCAUCUUGCAACUACAGAGCCCUUUGCAGAGUGACCACAGGAAGCCAGGCAUGGAGGAAGAAGGCGACAAUAAGCAGUCACUUGUGUUAUUACUGAAGAGACCACAGGGAUCUGUCCAAUUAUUCAAAUGCACAUCUGGAAAAAAUUCACCUGUCUUGAACUCUUGUUUGUUCAACAGCAAAACAAGCAAAAGCACCACAAAAUGCUCAAUCAGGGCGAUCUUUUCAAUUGUGGAGUCUGAACGUUUUCCCACCUGAGCAUCAUAAAUAAGGCAAAUUGCAUAAUAGGAUAAUAAUAGUUGUUGCUGAAAGAUGCAAUCAUAAAAUAAAAGGACCUUUCGAAAUCUGAGUAUAGAUGGUAAUUAUCCAGGAAUGGAAUACAAAGAGGAGCAAUUUCAAGGUUCCUGCUUCGUCUUGUUAUCGUGAAACUGAGACGGCCAAAUGCCAAAGAGGGCUCUUUCAGUUACAAGAGACCUUCCAAUGUCUUUGACAACAGUGCUAUUCCCUUCUGUUAGAGUGCUGUAGUACACCAUCUUGUAUAUCCGUCUAAUCUCAAAUGCCACAAUUCACAAAGUUGCCACUUGUUCUUUCCUGCUACCAAAACCAGAAUUCUAGCUGGUAAGCUCCACAGCAGAAAAAAAAAAUGAGGAAAAAAGUAAUAAAUUGUGGUUCUUUAUACUUCAGUGUUAU
rnacentral:lncRNA from 1 species